rnacentral:tRNA from 1 species
GACUCCUUGGGGUAGCGCGUUCGUCUCCAAAGCGAAAGGUUGCGUGUUCAAAUCACGUAGGGGUCA